CGGCUGCGCGCGGCCCUGCAAGCCGAGACCGUCCAGCCCCCGCAGCGCGGCGCAGAGAAGCGGGGUGCCCGUGGAAACCCGAGGGGGCUGAUCCUGCAAAGACUUCUGCAUCCCAUGGAUAAGAUUACCCACAGGAGUAGAGCGCUGAAAAGCGAUAUGUCCCAAUGAGAUCAGCUAUUGACCACCCUAACACAUUCAUAAUUAUAUAUCCCAGCUGUUCCUGAGAGGUAAAGUAGAAAACUUGUGGAACUCUUCUUGUUUCAACCCUUUGCUAUUCUAACAGUGAUUCUUGAGCACAAAAAAGAAGUAGACUUUCCUUUUUCUUUGUGAAGUAUUUCCCUAGCAACUAAACAAAGUAAAAUACAUAUUUUAAUACUGUUAGAUGUGUAAGAAACCAUAUGUAUUUUGAAUGAGAAAUUGGGAAGAAGGGUGGCAUAUUACAGUUGUUAACAACGUGAGACGGAGAUAGGGCUGCUUGGUUCUAAUUCUGGCUAUGUCAAAGGCUUACUAUAUGACCUUGUCAAGCUAUUUAACUUUUCUUUAACUUAGUUGUCCCAUUUGCAGAAUGGGAAUAAUUUAAAACUAUAUAUAGCUGUGUUAUCUGGCCCUUUAAGAGGGGUUCAAAGAUCAGCUCUAAACCUGUUCCUGGUUCAGCCUACAAAUACGGCAUUCUGGAACCUGUGCAGCUAGACUAUGCUAGUUGUAGGCUAAGCAGCAACGAAUGCUGGGAAAGGCAAUAGAGCUAGAAAGAGUUCUCUUUCCCCAGUAAGGCAGAAACUAGGGAGGUAACAACUCUUUGUAGGUCAUUCCACCUGAACAGAUUUUAUUCUUGGGUCUCUCCAAUCAAAGGUCUUGGAAAGUAUUUUGGAAGAAUAUUGGGGAAAAGUCUAAACAGAGUGCCAAAGGGCUGGUUAAAGUACUGAGUACUUGGUAGUGUUUUGGGUUAUGAAGCCAGAGCCUGGGGGAAACCUGGAGAGAGCAGAAGCUACUUGUUGAUCGCCACCAAAGACCUGUGGCAGAAGUCCAGUGGUAAAGAAUGACAUGAGAGUCCCUGCACUGUAAAUAUUGGAUUCAUUUUGGACUAUUUGUUUUGUUGGACUUCCCUUUAGCCUGCACUGGGAGGAGUUUUGGGAGUUGGCUAGGGGAGUAAAUUAGCCUUCCAAGUUGAAAAGUGAUUGAGCCUACACUAGAUUCUGGAAAGGUAAAAGACUCAAAUAGCACGGGGGAGAGGUAUUGUGAGAAUUGUUCACAAACUACUUGGAUGUGGGUUUUUUUUUUUUUAAUUGCAAUGUGUUAUUAGAAGAGUAGUUUGGUUGCAUUCACAACUAACUAGCAGCAUUUUGGUAUUUACAAAGGGCUGAAAUGUGUUACCCAUGCUUACAGUAAAUGGGAAUCAGAGGAACUAAUUAUGGAAUAAGUUACUGUUCAGCAUGAGUAUGGGUAUUGGAAUCUGGUCAGAGAUGGAAAUAUCCCUUUAACUAUCGCAGCAGCCUAGGAAAAUGAUCCCAAACAUUGCCAUUUACAAUAGUGUUAGUACAGUGGUUUAGACCAUUCUGGUGGAAUACUGUAGCAUUUUUGUGGUAGAAGGUAGAGGAAGUUAUUUUUUCCAUAAGAAUCUGAACAGUCCACUGGAGUAAUAGAAGGAAGAUUGGGAAAGUGACUUAGAUGGAAUAAGGUGUUACCAAAAUAAGUAAGUGGCUAGAAUGUGUGAUUUACAGAAAUGGGCACUUACUACAGCUGUGUGCAGCACAGCAAACUAAGAAAUCAGACAGGGUUUAAUUUUUGUUUUUUUAAACAUUUCACUUUGACUGGUUUUCUUGAGUUUUGUUUCCCUCCUGUUUUCUUCCACUUUCAUAACUAUAUUUUUGGUAGCAGAUAAAUAAAGGGACAAUUCUGAUAUUAAAGAUGGUUUGUGUGCUUAAAGAAAUCUUGCCUGUCAAGUAUAUAUAGUAAAUUGAGAAUUUUAGCGUUAUAUCUACAAAGAGCCAUUUUUCUAUCUAGAAAUUGUAUCUUUUCCAAAGAUAUUAGGAAUAUUAAAGUAUUAAUAAAAAAUUGAAGAAAAUUUCAAAUACACUAGCUAAUCUUUUGAUGUAGGCAACUCCGAAGUGUCUAAAUUUUGUUAUACAGUGACUUAGUUCUAUAUUGGCAAUACAGUAAUAACUUACUGAAAAGCAAAAUUGAGUGGGGACUCCUUGAGUAGCCCUUUUAAUUGCUAAUGAGUCAUACCUACACUGGAUACAGUGAGGAUACAACAUUAGACAUUACUAUUACCUGCCUACAGCUAAUUUGGGAAAUUCUGAUGGUUGGUCCAUUAAGUAAUAGCAGAAUGUGUGUGGGGAAUUAAUGCAGUUGCCUAGGUCUCAGUCAGGCCAGGACACUACAGUUAAUACCUCAGUUUACACUUGUGCAAAUUGCCCAGGUAUCUGUAGUGAUGGCAAAUGGUAGAGACCUUUGUUUUAAAUCUUAUCUGAAAGAUGGUUUGACAGUCUCUACAUGUACAUUCUUCCCCUUUGGAAGACUAUGGUAAGUGCUAUAAAAAGUAUGCCUUGUGAGAUAUCAUUUGAAAACUCAAUUUACUAAUUAUUGUUCUGGUCAGAUGUGUGGCAACAUUGUAUGUAAAGUUAUAGGAGUCUACUGUAUGAUAUUACUAAAGACAUGUUCUCAAUCUGAGGAAGAGUCACAAACAGGUUCUCCAGAGACAAAGGUGAGCCUAUGCCUCAGCCAGAUCUCAACAAAAAUCAAACGGACUCUCACCUGGUUAAGUAGCCAUUCUUUGACAGGAAAGAGGAUGUGGGUGAAAAAAAUCAUAUCUUGACAAAAACAGCUAGGGGUUCCUGUCCACACAGACUUGUUUCCUGAACCUCAGCUGGAGAUGAUUCUCAAAGAGAAAGACACCCCAAAUUAUUCCUCCUGUUCUCUCUACUCAUGGCAUCAAGAAUACUUGGAGAACAAAGGAAGCAGCACUCGACUGAGAGAGGGAUCCUGACUGAAAGGAAUUCAGUCAGUAAGACUGCUAUACCAUAUGGCGAGAGACCUUUGCUUUGAAUUCACUUAGCUUGUUAAUUUAGAUAUGUUUUA